rnacentral:rRNA from 1 species
AUUGAACGCUGGCGGCAUGCCUUACACAUGCAAGUCGAACGGUAACAGGUCUUCGGAUGCUGACGAGUGGCGAACGGGUGAGUAAUACAUCGGAACGUGCCCAGUAGUGGGGGAUAACUACUCGAAAGAGUGGCUAAUACCGCAUGAGAUCUACGGAUGAAAGCAGGGGAUCGCAAGAACUUGUGCUACUAGAGCGGCCGAUGGCAGAUUAGGUAGUUGGUGGGAUAAAAGCUUACCAAGCCGACGAUCUGUAGCUGGUCUGAGAGGACGAUCAGCCACGCUGGGACUGAGACACGGCCCAGACUCCUACGGGAGGCAGCAGUUGGGAAUUUUGGACAAUGGGCGAAAGCCUGAUCCAUCAAUGCCGCGUGCAGGAUGAAGGCCUUCGUGUUGUAAACUGCUUUUGUACGGAACGAAAAGCCCCGGGUUAAUACCCUGGGGUCAUGACGGUACCGUAAGAAUAAGCACCGGCUAACUACGUGCCAGCCGCCGCCGUAA